CAGAGGCUUAACCCACUGAGCCACCCAGGUGCCCUAAAGUUCUUAAUUUUUUAAGGACAGGUUGAGAUUCACAGCGAAGUGGAGAUCCUGGCUGGGCGGUCAUUUGGCUGGAGUCGGCGGCUGGUGGCAGGACGGGGAAGGUCUUGUCUAGGGCUGACUCUGCCCCGAUGGCUUCUCUUCUUCCAGCAGGCUGGCCUGGGCUUGUUCUCCAGGGAAGGGUACGGGUUUCAAGAGGUUCGUGGUCACUUCUGCUGACCAAAGUCACAAGGCCAAGCUCUGAUAUGCCCUCUUAAGGGGGAGUUUGCUUUUGUUCGUAAAAGGAUAUUAUUCACCAAAAAUGCUGAGCACUUACUUGUUUAUUUUCAAUUUAGUUUUAUGAAGGAACAUUUCAGGUGGGUGCCUGAGUAGAGGGUACCGAAAGCCUUUGCGUCCUGACCAUCCAGCAUCAGGAAGCCACCUGCUCCCGAAGCCUUACCACCAUGAACAGAUCGACUCUUAGAAACAAAAGCAGGAUCAGACCUGGCUCAUAGGUUGGGAAUGGCACCUGCUGGGAAUAUGACAUGCUUGAACCACUGUCAUCACAGGAGAGCUUUUCCCAGGUUCGGGAUCCCAGGCCCUACCCCAGACCUACGGGACCGCAGUCUGCACUUUUCACAGCUCUCAGUGUUUUCCUCGAGUCCAAGUUCACGCAGAGAAUGCUGGAGUCAAAGCCCUGGCCUGUCCUGGGACGUCCCCCGGACGAACGCUGCUGUGAUGUUCUGUCAACAAGCCCCGGUCGGUCGGGUCGCGGAUCCCGGAGUUUCCUUACCUUUGUACUUGUGCUGGACCUCGUGGAGCCCGGUGUGCCCCAGGGCCUGGCCCUGCCCCCUCCUGUCGGGAGGGUCAGUCUGUACGGCUUCCAGACGCCGGGCAUGGAGCCUACUUAAAAAACAAAGUAAUGAAUGGAAGCAGAAGGGACUGCAGUCAUGUGCUGAA